UACGGAGGGUGCAAACGUUGCUCGGAAUCAUUGGGCGUAAAGCGCGUGUAGGCGGCCAGAUAAGUCCGCUGUGAAAUCUCGAGGCUCAACUUCGAGCUGUCGGUGGAAACUGUCUGGCUAGAGUCCGGAAGAGGAGAGUGGAAUUCCUGGUGUAGCGGUGAAAUGCGCAGAUAUCAGGAAGAACACCCGUGGCGAAGGCGGCUCUCUGGGCCGUAACUGACGCUGAGGAGCGAAAGCAUGGGGAGCGAACAGG
rnacentral:rRNA from 1 species